rnacentral:rRNA from 1 species
GAGUUUGAUCAUGGCUCAGAAUGAACGCUGGCGGCAGGCCUCAAACAUGCAAGUCUAGGGGGUGUAGCAAUACAUCACCGGCGGACGGGUGCGUAACGCGUGGGAAUAUACCUAUUGGUUCGGAACAACUGAGGGAAACUUCAGCUAAUACCGAAUGUGCCCUUACGGGGAAAGAUUUAUCGCCAAUGGAUUAGCCCGCGUAGGAUUAGCUAGUUGGUGGGGUAAUGGCCCACCAAGGCUCCGAUCCUUAGCUGUUCUGAGAGGAAGAUCAGCCACACUGGGACUGAGACACGGCCCAGACUCCUACGGGAGGCAGCAGUUGGGAAUCUUGGACAAUGGGGGAAACCCUGAUCCAGCCAUGCCGCGUGAGUGAUGAAGGCCUUCGGGUUGU